rnacentral:rRNA from 1 species
UGGGGAAUAUUGGACAAUGGGCGGAAGCCUGAUCCAGCAACGCCGCGUGAGGGAUGACGGCCUUCGGGUUGUAAACCUCUUUCAGUACCGACGAAGCGGAAGUGACGGUAGGUACAGAAGAAGCACCGGCCAACUACGUGCCAGCAGCCGCGGUAAUACGUAGGGUGCGAGCGUUGUCCGGAAUUAUUGGGCGUAAAGGGCUCGUAGGCGGUUUGUCGCGUCGGGAGUGAAAACACUGGGCUUAACUCAGUGCUUGCUUCCGAUACGGGCAGACUAGAGGCAUGCAGGGGAGAACGGAAUUCCUGGUGUAGCGGUGAAAUGCGCAGAUAUCAGGAGGAACACCGGUGGCGAAGGCGGUUCUCUGGGCAUGUCCUGACGCUGAGGAGCGAAAAGUGUGGGGAGCGAACAGGAUUAGAUACCCUGGUAGUCCACACCGUAAACGUUGGGCGCUAGGUGUGGGGCCUAUUCCAUGGGUUCCGUGCCGCAGCUAACGCAUUAAGCGCCCCGCCUGGGGAGUACGGCCGCAAGGCU